AGAACGAACGCUGGCGGCAUGCCUAAUACAUGCAAGUCGAACGAACUCUUCGGAGUUAGUGGCGCACGGGUGCGUAACGCGUGGGAAUCUGCCCCUUGGUUCGGAAUAACAGUUGGAAACGACUGCUAAUACCGGAUGAUGACGAAAGUCCAAAGAUUUAUCGCCAAGGGAUGAGCCCGCGUAGGAUUAGCUAGUUGGUGAGGUAAAGGCUCACCAAGGCAACAAUCCUUAGCUGGUCUGAGAGGAUGAUCAGCCACACUGGGACUGAGACACGGCCCAGACUCCUACGGGAGGCAGCAGUAGGGAAUAUUGGACAAUGGGCGAAAGCCUGAUCCAGCAAUGCCGCGUGAGUGAUGAAGGCCUUAGGUGUAAAGCUCUUUACCCGAGAUGAUAAUGACAGUAUCGGAGAAUAAGCCCCGGCUAACUCCGUGCCAGCAGCCGC
rnacentral:rRNA from 1 species